UGGUUAAUAAAUGGUCCACACCAAGCACUUGCGAUUGCUGCUUCUUCACUUCUGAAAUGCUGGAGGAAGAAAAAGAGAAAAGUAAUGUAGAUGUAAGUGACUUGCAGCUGAUGAGACAGAACGCAUCGCUAUCAAGCUUAACAGAGGAGCAAAGCUGAACUCACUAUACUGGGAGAAUUCAAAAGCAAGGGAGAACCAAUUGGCACUCUCCACAUGCUGCUCGGCUCAUCGUACAUAGGAUCUGUGCAGAUUCGAGGGUAGAGAGCCAGGCCUCCACCAUUUCAUGCCAGUUUCUCUCCUGUUCGCUCAGUUGGCCCAUUCAUUCUGGCAAAAGCACUAUGGCCAAAGUGCACUUCAUCUUAAAGAAAAUUAUUUGAACAGGAACAAUAUUGCAAGGUCAAUACACCUGAGGGAAACCAUAUAACUAAAGCUAUCAGAUACAGAUAGUAUCUACAUAAAUGAUUGAUUCCAAAGUCAUGAAGCUGUCCCAUCAAGGAUGAAGUUAUGGUUGUCUACAUCCAAGAGGCAAUUAAGAUGAAAUAAGAGAAGUUGAACCUACAGAAGAUGCAAAAUGUGAAUAUAUAGACCCUUCUACAGAUGAUACUUCAAUAACAUCUAUCAACUUCACCCCCAGGCUAGCCAAGUCUACUAACUUUCCAUGACAAAUAAUAAAAGAAAUUUAUGCUUUGUUUUUAGGA